rnacentral:pre_miRNA from 1 species
GUCCCUCUGGUGCAGUGGUUCUUAACAGUUCAACAGUUCUAUCUCAAAAUUGUGAAAUGUUUAGGACCACUUGACCAG